AGUUUAUACCAUGUGUGGUAUAAACAGAUUGUUAAUCAACAGCUGUAAUGAUUAACUGAUGGUCUGAGAGUUGAAUAACACGGGGUAUUGUGGUAGAAAUACUGUUUAAACAAUUCUGAAAACAGCCGAAUAAAUCUUCAGCACUUGUGUAUACCAAUGUUUUCCUGUAUAGCUUGAUGUUUUUAUACAUAAUGUAUAUUUUUUUAGAUGCUUGUUAAUAAUAUAUAAAAAUGGUGGUCAGGACCUGUAUAACUGGACCACUGCAGCAUGUUACAAAACCAUAUGGCCCCUAUAGACUGUUACAGGUCCAUAGAGUCUCUGUAGACUGUUACAGGUCCAUAUAGUCUCUGUAGACUGUUACAGGUCCAUAGAGUCUCUGUAGACUGUUACAGGUCCAUAAAGUCUCUGUAGACUGUAAAAGGUCCAUAGAGUCUCUGUAGACUGUUACAGGUCCAUAAAGUCUCUGUAGACUGUAAAAGGUCCAUAGAGUCUAUGUAGGCUGUUACAGGUCUAUAGAGUCUCUGUAGACUGUUACAGGUCUAUAUAGGCUCUGUAGACUGUUACAGGUCCAUAGAGUCGCUGUAGACUGUUACAGGUCCAUAGAGUCUAUGUAGACUGUUACAGGUCUAUAGGGCCUCUGUAGACUGUUACAGGUCCAUAGAGUCUCUGUAGACUGUUACAGGUCCAUAGAGUCUCUGUAGACUGUUACAGGUCCAUAGAGUCUCUGUAGACUGUUACAGGUCUAUAUGGCCCCUAUAGACUGUUACACGUCCAUAGGGUCUCUGUAGACUGUUACAGGUCUAUAGAGUCUCUGUAGACUGUUACAGGUCCAUAGAGUCUCUGUAGACUGUUACAGGUCCAUAGAGUCUCUGUAGACUGUUACACGUCCAUAGAGUCUCUGUAGACUGUUACAGGUCCAUAGAGUCUCUGUUGACUGUUACAGGUCUAUAGAGUCUCUGUAGACUGUUAUAGGUCCAUAGAGUCUCUGUAGACUGUUAAAGGUCCAUAGAGUCUCUGUAGACUGUUACAGGUCCAUAGAGUCUCUGUAGAAUGUUACAGGUCUAUAUGGCCCCUAUAGACUGUUACACGUCCAUAGAGUCUCUGUAGACUGUUACAGGUCCAUAGAGUCUCUGUAGACUGUUACAGGUCCAUAGAGUCUCUGUAGACGGUUACAGGUCCAUAGAGUAUCUGUAGACUGUUACAGGUCUAUAGGGCCUCUGUUGACUGUUAUAGGCCCAUAUGGCCUCUGUACAUAUGGCCUCUGUAAAAUGUUACAAAUCCAUUGUGUUCCUGUAGAAUAUAGAGCAUAAUAUACCAACACUAGUAGAGGGGUAUGGAAUAAGUAGUAUUUUACAGUUUAUAAAAUGUUGAUGCUUUUUCUAUUCAAUCUAUUUUUUAUGCUAAUAUAUUUAUUUAUUUACUCAGAAAGUUUGCUGAUAUUAAGCCUAGCAUUACCUUGUUAAUCCAAUUUCAAUAAAGUUUUCCUAUUUCCUAGGCCAUAACUAUCAGUGAGCCACAAGAUAUUUUAAGCUAUUGAUCUUUUUUCUGUUAGGCUCUUUGGUAGGUAUUGAUUGUAUAUCCAAAUUGUUUAAUAAGGAAUCUUUGUACCGAUUUAUGAAAAAUCAUGAUUUCUCUGUAAAUUUUGUAAAACAUUCUUAUUCAGUAAUACAUGUAUUUGCCGUUUACAUAGGAUAUUGCUGUUGACAUUUUAGCCUCUGAGAGAGUAUUAUAUCAUUUAUUACCUAUUUCUUUCUGUUCGCUUGUUUCCUCUAUAUAUUGAUUUCAUUUUAUGAUUAGAGGCACAAUGGUCUUUUGGUUGGACACAGGGCUACGUGACCGAAGGGUCACUAGUUCGAGUCCUGGCAUGGGCACUAUGUUGUAUUCUUGAACAAGAUACUUUAAAUAUAAAUGAGUACAUGUACAAGGUAGGGCAGUGCAAGAAAUGUGUGUAAGCUAGCUGUUAGUGCCCAAAUGACAGCUCUGGCUGUAUGCUCCCAAGGGAGGCGAUAUAUGACAGCUCUGGCUGUAUAUAUGCUCCCCAGGGAGGUGAGAUAUGACAGCUCUGGCUGUAUAUAUGCUCCCAAGGGAGGUGAGAUAUGGCAGCUCUGGCUGUAUGCUCCCAAGGGAGGUGAGAUAUGACAGCUCUGGCUGUAUGCUCCCAAGGGAGGUGAGAUAUGACAGCUCUGGCUGUAUGCUCCCAAGGGAGGUAAGAUAUGACAGCUCUGGCUGUAUGCUCCCAAGGGAGGUGAGAUAUGACAGCUCUGGCUGUAUGCCCCCAAGGGAGGUGAGAUAUGACAGCUCUGGCUGUAUGCUCCCAAGGGAGGUGAGAUAUGACAGCUCUGGCUGUAUGCUCCCAAGGGAGGUGAGAUAAGACAUUGGCUGGUAGCUAAAGGCCCAAUAACCACAGAAAAUAAUCUGUGGAAGGCUUUGAGACGGCUUUGAUACUGAGGUAUAGCAGUAUAGAGAAUUUCAAAUUAUCCUAAUUAUUAUUUUAUGGUUUCACAGUGGCAAUUAAAAUAAGUAUUUAGUUAACUCUAAAUCUCAUUCUUGUAAGAGUUUUUAACUCUGAGCCGUCCAUCCUUACAUCAUAUAAAUACAGCUUAUUACAUAUUGGAAUAUAUUAUAUGUACAGGUUUUUUUUGAGUAUUUUUGUCAAUACAAGAUAUGCAGCUGCUAGCCACCAUAGGCAAAAUUUGAUAAAGUCGCAAAUAAUUGUGAUUUUUUUUAAUUUAAUUAUUUUUUUAAAUGCCUAUUUGGAUAUAAGAUUUUAUGCAUUCCUUGUCUGUAUGCUAUGAAUUUCUCAUACCCUGGACAGGUGUGUCCACACUUUGACCAGCGUGAAAUUACCUUACCUCACAUUAAAGUUGAGACAAGGAGAUUCACAUUAACAACUUAACAAAUUUAACAUUAUAAAUAAUUAAAUCACCUAAGUUAGACAACUUUUUACCUCACAUUGAAACAACUGUCAAUAUUACACCAAAACGGGCCCAAAGGGACAGAGAAACGUAAAUUGGUUAACCCCAUUGGGUAUCAGACAGGGGUAUCCCCUCCUUGGGAUAAGAUUAACUGCCAUACACUUGCCAUCUCUCGUGUUUGUUAACUUGAGAAUCUGAACAAUGAAGUUCCUCCAGGUUGGAGAUCUCCAGUCCGACAAGGGCCUAAAUGACAUAAUGUAUCAAAAUUCUCAUUGUGAUAAAAAAUAGAAUGAUUUCUAGUCCUGAAAAAUGUCCUUACAAUAAACUAACAACCAACAAAGAUUAUGACCUAUGGUAGAUGAUCCAUCUAUUUGAUUAUUCUAAUUUUUCAAAAUGGCAGGCAGGAUUAUAGAGUCAAUUGUUCUUACAUGAUAUUCAUACUGAGAUGAAUUUAUCAACCUUGGACAUGAUUAUUGUUAUUACAGAACUAAUCAUUAUUUUGAGUGUAAACUUAUUCUAUAACAAUUUUGAAACAAGUUAUACCAACUUAAUAAAUUAAUCAUGAUAGUUGUCCUGGAUGGAAUCGCACAUGGAGUCUCACUGUGGGAGGAAACCUGAGAACCUGGGGUAAACCCAUGUGACCUCGCUUUCACGUCUGAUAUCACUGCGUCACCUGACCACCCAGUUCUAGACUUUGUAUCUUUUCCUUAAGUCAAGAUCUUUGUGUACACAACAUUGCUUGGUUCUGUUAAGGUGUUAUUAUUUUCUUGUCCUUAGGUACAGAUGCUUGAAUAUUAAUUGUAUUAUGGUUGAAUUUUUGUUUUGAUUAUAAUAUCAUGAUGAUGUGUAUUGAAUAUGCAAUAAUUAUUAAAAUGAUAAAGAAUUCAAA